GAAAACUUGGAAACUACCGUUGGAUCGAGAAAUGAACGUUCGAGAUUCGUCCACGUCACCCUGAGUUAAAAUUUAACUCGUAGAUUCACUCAUGAGUUAAAAUUUUACUAGGAGUUAAAUUUUAACUCAUAGUGACGUGGACGAAUCUCGGACGUCCAUUUCUCGAUUCAACGGUAGUUUUCAUGUUUUC
rnacentral:pre_miRNA from 1 species